rnacentral:rRNA from 1 species
AAAGCGCACGUAGGCGGCUUUGUAAGUAAGAGGUGAAAGCCUGGAGCUCAACUCCAGAAUUGCCUUUUAGACUGCAUCGCUUGAAUCAUGGAGAGGUGAGUGGAAUUCCGAGUGUAGAGGUGAAAUUCGUAGAUAUUCGGAAGAACACCAGUGGCGAAGGCGGCUCACUGGACAUGUAUUGACGCUGAGGUGCGAAAGCGUGGGGAGCAAACAGGAUUAGAUACCCUAGU